rnacentral:rRNA from 1 species
GAUGAACGCUGGCGGCGUGCCUAAUACAUGCAAGUCGAGCGAACAGAUAAGGAGCUUGCUCCUUUGACGUUAGCGGCGGACGGGUGAGUAACACGUGGGUAACCUAUCUAUAAGACUGGAAUAACUCCGGGAAACCGGGGCUAAUGCCGGAUAACAUGUUGAACCGCAUGGUUCUACAGUGAAAGGCGGCUUUGCUGUCACUUAUAGAUGGACCCGCGCCGUAUUAGCUAGUUGGUGAGGUAACGGCUCACCAAGGCAACGAUACGUAGCCGACCUGAGAGGGGGAUCGGCCACACUGGAACUGAGACACGGUCCAGACUCCUACGGGAGGCAGCAGUAGGGAAUCUUCCGCAAUGGGCGAAAGCCUGACGGAGCAACGCCGCGUGAGUGAUGAAGGUCUUCGGAUCGUAAAACUCUGUUAUUAGGGAAGAACAAAUGCGUAAGUAACUGUGCGCGUCUUGACGGUACCUAAUCAGAAAGCCACGGCUAACUACGUG